rnacentral:rRNA from 1 species
UUGACCAAUUGACCUCAAA